rnacentral:rRNA from 1 species
UACGAAGGGGGCUAGCGUUGCUCGGAAUCACUGGGCGUAAAGCGCACGUAGGCGGCUUUCUAAGUCAGGGGUGAAAUCCCGGAGCUCAACUCCAGAACUGCCUUUGAUACUGGGAAUCUUGAGUAUGGAAGAGGUGAGUGGAACUGCGAGUGUAGAGGUGAAAUUCGUAGAUAUUCGCAAGAACACCAGUGGCGAAGGCGGCUCACUGGUCCAUAACUGACGCUGAGGCACGAAAGCGUGGGGAGCAAACAGG